CAGUCGAGCGAACAGAUGAGGAGCUUGCUCCUCUGACGUUAGCGGCGGACGGGUGAGUAACACGUGGGUAACCUACCUAUAAGACUGGAAUAACUCCGGGAAACCGGGGCUAAUGCUGGAUAAUAUGCAGAACCGCAUGGUUCUGCAAUGAAAGACGGUUUUGCUGUCACUUAUAGAUGGACCCGCGCCGUAUUAGCUAGUUGGUAAGGUAACGGCUUACCAAGGCAACGAUACGUAGCCGACCUGAGAGGGUGAUCGGCCACACUGGAACUGAGACACGGUCCAGACUCCUACGGGAGGCAGCAGUAGGGAAUCUUCCGCAAUGGGCGAAAGCCUGACGGAGCAACGCCGCGUGAGUGAUGAAGGUCUUCGGAUCGUAAAACUCUGUUAUUAGGGAAGAACAAGUGCGUAGGUAACUAUGCGCACCUUGACGGUACCUAAUCAGAAAGCCACGGCUAACUACGUGCCAGCAGCCGCGGUAAUACGUAGGUGGCAAGCGUUAUCCGGAAUUAUUGGGCGUAAAGCGCGCGUAGGCGGUUUUUUAAGUCUGAUGUGAAAGCCCACGGCUCAACCGUGGAGGGUCAUUGGAAACUGGAAAACUUGAGUGCAGAAGAGGAAAGUGGAAUUCCAUGUGUAGCGGUGAAAUGCGCAGAGAUAUGGAGGAACACCAGUGGCGAAGGCGACUUUCUGGUCUGCAACUGACGCUGAUGUGCGAAAGCGUGGGGAUCAAACAGGAUUAGAUACCCUGGUAGUCCACGCCGUAAACGAUGAGUGCUAAGUGUUAGGGGGUUUCCGCCCCU
rnacentral:rRNA from 1 species